rnacentral:rRNA from 1 species
AUCAGGUAGGAAUACCCGCUGAACUUAAGCAUAUCAAUAAGCGGAGGAAAAGAAACCAACAGGGAUUGCCCUAGUAACGGCGAGUGAAGCGGCAACAGCUCAAAUUUGAAAUCUGGCCUCGGCCCGAGUUGUAAUUUGCAGAGGAUGCUUCUGGCGCGGUGCCUUCCGAGUUCCCUGGAACGGGACGCCACAGAGGGUGAGAGCCCCGUAUGGUCGGACACCAAGCCUGUGUGAAGCUCCUUCGACGAGUCGAGUAGUUUGGGAAUGCUGCUCUAAAUGGGAGGUAAAUCUCUUCUAAAGCUAAAUACCGGCCAGAGACCGAUAGCGCACAAGUAGAGUGAUCGAAAGAUGAAAAGCACCUUGAAAAGGGGGUUAAAUAGUACGUGAAAUUGUUGAAAGGGAAGCACUUAUGACCAGACUUGGGCCGGGCGGCUCAUCAGGGGUUCUCCCCUGUGCACUCCGCCCGGCACAGGCCAGCAUCGGUUCUCGCGGGGGGAUAAGACCGUCAGGAACGUAGCACCCUCCGGGGUGUGUUAUAGCCUGGCGGACGAUACCCUCGCGGGG